CAAUGGAGAAGCAUUUCAUUGGCCAAGAUCAUCAAUUUAGAUUAUCUAAAAUAGAGGACACUUAUACAUCACUGGAAAAAGGGUGAUUUUUUCUUUUUAAUUCAUAAAGUGGGUUAGACAAUCCAGGAAAAGUCUAACAUUCUAAAUACAAAUAUGUAUUUAGAACAUUAGAGUGUUAGAGGCAUAAAAAAAACCUCUAGUAAUUGACCCCUUUCAAUGCACUCUUGAAUAU